GCACAGUUACUUGGCUGGAAAUUCGAAUUUAGGCCAGCAGGAGCCGCAGCAGUAGCACGCGCACCCACGUCUAUUACCAAAAAUUAGUAAUACGUACUGACGCCAUGAGGAAACGUCAGCUCGAGUAGAUGAUGCUAGAUUCGUUCGGAUAACGAAGUUAUGGCAAGAAAAUCCUGGCUGGAGUUAAAUGGCAAGUGGUCAUCAUCAGAGAAUAGCAUCAUUUGCAACCCAUUCCAGGUAUUCCUCAUCCUGGAAGUCGCUCUAGUCGUACUCCUGGUUAGUCUUGGUGCGAUCUUUUCUUGGACAGGCAAUGCCCAUGGGCUAAUCUUUGUCAUACCGGGGGUGAUCCUGUUUGUGAUGGUCGUGUUAGUAUACUUCUCAACGAUGCGAGAGACAUGGGAUCGUGAGGGUAACUACAAAUUCAUCAAAAUUCAACCCCAAGAAGCCGCUAAGGGAGGUGUCAGUUGCAUUGACAUACAGAUCAACUAGUGGCCAGCAUAGAGCGACUGAUGGCGCAGCGCCUCCGGGCAAAGAGUGCUAGUAAUUCCAAUAACUGUUCAAUAAUUCAAUAAAUUUAUUCAGAUUUAUGAAUAAUAUUUUA